rnacentral:rRNA from 1 species
GGCCUUUAGGAUUUAAUUUAAGGUCUGACCUGCCCAGUGAUUAAUUUAACGGCCGCGGUACAUUGACCGUGCAAAGGUAGCAUAAUCAUUAGUCUUUUAAUAGAGGGCUGGAAUGAAUGGUUUAACGAGGAACUAACUGUCUCAUUUUAUUUGUUUUAAAACUUAAUUUUUUAGUUAAAAAGCUAAAAUUUUACUGGAAGACGAGAAGACCCUAUAGAUCUUUAUAUAAUUUUUUUUAUUUAUUUUUAUAUUAGUAUGAUUAUAUUAAAUUGUAUUUUGUUGGGGUGACAAAAAUAUAUGAAUAACUUUUUUAUUUAUUUGCCAUUGAUAUAUGAUUAUUGGAUCCACUUUUAGUGAUUAUUAGAAUAAGUUACCUUAGGGAUAACAGCGUGAUCCUCCUCCAGAGACCAUAUUUACAGGAGGGCUUGCGACCUCGAUGUUGGAUUAAGAUAAUAAUUAGGUGUAGCCGCUUAAUUUAUAGGUCUGUUCGACCUUUAAAUUCUU